GUUUAUUUUGCCAAAGUUAAGGAUGUGCCCAUGGCAUAGCUUCAGGAAGUCCUGAGACACGUGCCCAAGGUGUUUGGGGGUACAGUUUGCUUUUAUACAUUUUAGGGAGACAUGAGACAGCUAUGUGUAAGAUGUACAUUAGUUCAGUCCGGUAAGGCAGGACAACUCGAAGUGGCCCCGUUAGAAGUAGGUAAGACGCAAAAGGUUGCAUUCUUUUAAGUCGUAGAUCAGCCUUCCACUGAAUACACAAUUUAGUCUGGUUCAGUGGAUCUGCAUUUUCACAGAAACAAUAGGAGAGAGGAAGCAAUCAGAUAUGCGUUUGUUUCAGGUGAGCCUCAGACGGAUGACUUUGAAUAGAAGGGGAGGCAGGUUUGCCCUAAGCAGCUCCCAGCUUGACUCUUCCCAUUAGCUUAGUGAUUUUGGGGUCCCUAGAUUUAUUUUACUUUCACAAGCUUUUAUAUGCAGUCACCAACUCAAGCUUAGCUACACAGAGGCUGGGAUGUGAAAGCACUGGUUAAGUCAGCUGUGGAUCGCACAUGCCCUUUCUAUCUGAUCUCUUCAAACCAGGAUACCAUCUGGCUUGGUUCAGAAACUUUCACUGUAUACUUUAGUUUGAAUUUAACUUUUUUUUUUUUUUAACCUUCGAUACUUUGGCUGACUUUAUGACUAUUUUAAUUCACAAAAGAGACUCACCUUAAGAGACAUUAUAAUACUCAAUUUAUUGCAGGGUAAGAAAACAUAAACAAGUCAAUCCGUGGGCUAAAGUUUUUCUUUGGCCAAAUCGUCACCAUUGUCUUUAUUAAGACUAGGACACCCUUUAAAAGGGCUUCCUGACUAAGUAACGAUUGCCUUUCACUUCACUGUACACCCCUCCACUCUCCAGAUAAGUUCAUCAGUUUAACUUCAUCCAAUAUACACAAGUGAAUGCACCUUAAUUAAUUAGCAGAAAUACUAAUUGAUACACAUUUAUUCUUAAAUCCUAGAUGCAGUAUGUACCCUUAUAUCUAAAAGAGAGGUUAGCACAAUAGUGCACACCAAGACAUUUCAAGAGGUGCUAGAGAAGUAGACUUCACAUUUUGGACAGAGAGGUGUCAAAGAAUGUAUGGACAUGCUUAAAAUCCCCACAAUGCAG
rnacentral:lncRNA from 10 species